rnacentral:rRNA from 1 species
UACGGAGGGUGCGAACGUUGUUCGGAAUCAUUGGGCGUAAAGGGCACGUAGGCGGCCGCGCAGGUCGGGUGUGAAAUCCCGGGGCUCAACCCCGGAAUUGCGCUCGAAACCGCGUGGCUCGAGUCUUGGAGGGAGAAGUAGAAUUCCUGGUGUAGGGGUGAAAUCCGUAGAUAUCAGGAGGAAUACCAGUGGCGAAGGCGACUUCUUGGCCAAAGACUGACGCUGAGGUGCGAAAGCGUGGGGAGCAAACAGG